rnacentral:lncRNA from 13 species
AUGCAGAUUCACAAUAUGAGUGAUCAGCUCAGCGUUUCUGAAAGGAGCAGCAGGAAGACAGAAGUCCGCUCUGUGAUGGAACUGAAUCCCAGAGUGAUCCUUCUCAGGGAUGCAAUGCCCAGCUUCUGUAGUGAAAAAAAGAGGUCCCUUGGCCUGGGGCAUCAGUGGAAGUCGAUGGAUGAAUGCACAGUAGUCAUCACCAACAGCACCAGUCUCAGUGAAUCCAGGCAUUGGAUGACACCAGAGGCUCCAUGGCUACGAAGUUACUCACCAUCAAAGGAAAGAAAUCUUUGGAGAGUGGUAAAAUCAGUCGUAAGGGUAACAGAGAUGUCACAUAAACUUGAAAUCAAUGUAAGAGCAAGGUGUACAGCAUGUUAA